AAAAGAAUGUUACCGUCCUAUGCCAAAUUGGAUAAUACCAACUAUCAGCGGAAUUGGAACUUGCAUUAUACUAGCGUCAUUAUGGCUCACUAUUCGGGCAUGUUGUAGAAGAAGGCUAUCAGCCAUGUACAUUGUUAAAACACCAACUGAAGUGAAGAAGAAUAUUAGAAAUCUAGCAGAUAUGGUUUACAAAUCAGAUUUGGACGAGGUCAGGAAUCUACUUGCGAGUCCCUCCUUUUACCAGAAAAGCUCAGAAAAGCGCCAGGUGGGAUUUUCAAGUGACCAUUCAAAGGGCAUUCAGAGCGAGACAGAGACAGGUGAAUUCACAACAUUUACCCCAGAUUCUACCUUUCAAAGUGGUCUUGAAACUAGUUUUGAUGAUAGCAGAUAAGGAGAAUCCAAUCCAAGAUAUUGGCAAU